GGUUCAAUGGUCUAGUGGUUAUGAUUUCUGUCUUACAAAGAACACAGAAGGUCUCCAGUUCGAUCCUGGAUUGAACCA